rnacentral:misc_RNA from 1 species
GCGGGAAGCACACUGGUGGAG